rnacentral:rRNA from 1 species
AUUGAACGCUGGCGGCAGGCCUAACACAUGCAAGUCGAGCGGAUGAAGGGAGCUUGCUCCUGGAUUCAGCGGCGGACGGGUGAGUAAUGCCUAGGAAUCUGCCUGGUAGUGGGGGAUAACGUCCGGAAACGGGCGCUAAUACCGCAUACGUCCUGAGGGAGAAAGUGGGGGAUCUUCGGACCUCACGCUAUCAGAUGAGCCUAGGUCGGAUUAGCUAGUUGGUGGGGUAAAGGCCUACCAAGGCGACGAUCCGUAACUGGUCUGAGAGGAUGAUCAGUCACACUGGAGCUGAGGCACGGUCCAGACUCCUACGGGAGGCAGCAGUGGGGAAUAUUGGACAAUGGGCGAAAGCCUGAUCCAGCCAUGCCGCGUGUGUGAAGAAGGUCUUCGGAUUGUAAAGCACUUUAAGUUGGGAGGAAGGGCAGUAAGUUAAUACCUUGCUGUUUUGACGUUACCAACAGAAUAAGCACCGGCUAACUUCGUG